CCUGGUGGCUCAGAUGGUAAAGCAUCUGCUUACAAUGCAGGAGGCCCAGGUUCGAUCCCUGGGUCAGGA
rnacentral:tRNA from 1 species